rnacentral:rRNA from 1 species
UACGUAGGUUGCGAGCGUUCCUCUGAAUUACUGGGCGUAAAGCGUGCGCAGGCGGUUUUGUAAGCCAGGUGUGAAAUCCCCGGGCUCAACCUGGGAAUGGCAUUUGGGACUGCAAGGCUGGAGUGCGGCAGAGGAGACUGGAAUUCCUGGUGUAGCAGUGAAAUGCGUAGAUAUCAGGAGGAACACCGAUGGCGAAGGCAGGUCUCUGGGCUGACACUGACGCUCAUGCACGAAAGCGUGGGGAGCAAACAGG